rnacentral:lncRNA from 1 species
AUGUUUUCUGCUAAUUUGGCUGUAAAAGAAUAUUCAGUACAAGGACAAAGGGGCCAGCUACCAUUGUACCUGAUACCUAGUUUGUUAUUUUUUGUUUUAUUCUCUCAGGUACUGUUAUAUAUAGUACUAAGAUUCAUAGAAGAAUUAUGAAGAAAAUAUCAGUAAAACUAUCUUAUCUUCCCUAAUAUUAUUCUCCUUCUAU